rnacentral:rRNA from 1 species
UGCACCUACGGGGGGCAGCAGUAGGGAAUUUUCGUCAAUGGGCGCAAGCCUGAACGAGCAAUGCCGCGUGAACGAGGAAGGUCUUCGGAUCGUAAAGUUCUGUUGAAGGGGAAAAAGAGCGGAGAGAGGAAAUGGUCUCCGAUUGAUAUUACCCUUCGAGGAAGUCACGGCUAACUACGUGCCAGCAGCCGCGGUAAUACGUAGGUGGCGAGCGUUAUCCGGAAUGAUUGGGCGUAAAGGGCGUGCAGCCGGAGAGACA